AAUGCAUGUAUUGUUAUUUUAUGUGUUUACAGUAGAAUUGAAAAAAUGGAGGUUAAAAGUAAACGAAAAAUUUGUGUGAUUAAGUGAAUGGAUGAAACGACAGCCUUACUGGAUAUUUUGGGAGAUGGUGGACGGGCCGGUUAUAUAGAGAAUCCUACCGUGAAUGUUGUCGCAUACCGGACGGGGUAUGGAGACUUAGUAAAUUGGCAUUCAUAUUGGAUGGGGUAUGAGGACGAUCUGCUUCACUCUCAUAUCGGACGGGGUAUUAAGGUUUAAAAAUUUGACCCUCAUAC
rnacentral:lncRNA from 1 species